GAUGAACGCUGGCGGCGUGCUUAACACAUGCAAGUCGAACGAAGCACUUUAUUUGAUUUCCUUCGGGACUGAUUAUUUUGUGACUGAGUGGCGGACGGGUGAGUAACGCGUGGGUCACCUGCCUUGUACAGGGGGAUAACAGUUGGAAACGGCUGCUAAUACCGCAUAAGCGCACGGCAUCGCAUGAUGCAGUGUGAAAAACUCCGGUGGUAUAAGAUGGACCCGCGUUGGAUUAGCUAGUUGGUGAGGUAACGGCCCACCAAGGCGACGAUCCAUAGCCGACCUGAGAGGGUGACCGGCGACAUUGGGACUGAGACACGGCCGAGACUCCUACGGGAGGGAGCAGUGGGGAAUAUUGCAAAAUGGGCGAAAGGAUGAUGCAGCGACGCCGCGUGAGCGAAGAAGUAUUUCGGUAUGUAAAGCUCUAUCAGCAGGGAAGAUAAUGACGGUACCUGACGAAGAAGCACCGGCUAAAUACGUG
rnacentral:rRNA from 1 species